GACGAACGCUGGCGGCGUGCCUAACACAUGCAAGUCGAACGGAAAGGCCCGGAGCUUGUGGCGUGCUUGUGAGCCGCAGACGUGAGUAUAACGUGUGGAACAUGCCCUUAUCAGUGGGAUAACACCAGGGGACACGGGAGCAUAUCCGGGAUGAUCUCCUGAUGCACAGUGUUGAAUAGUGAAAGACGGCGUUGGGGGAUGGACUCGCUGCUUAUGAGCUUGUUUGUGUGGUAGGGGCGUACAAAGGCUUUGACGGGUAGCCGGCCUGAGAGGGUGACCGGGCACCUUGGGACUGAGAUACGGACCAGACUCGUACGGGCGGCAGCAGUGGGGAAUAUUGCACAAUGGGCGGAAGCCUGAUGCAGCGACGCCGCGUGCGGGAUGACCGCCUUUGGGUUAUAAACCUCUUUCGCCUGUGACGAAGAGUGAGUGACGGUAAUGAGUCAAGAAGCAACGGCUAACUACGUG
rnacentral:rRNA from 1 species